AGCACUACACCUUUACUACUCA
rnacentral:siRNA from 1 species